UAUGGAGUGAAUGAAAAGUGCAGUCAGGAUGCCACUCUGAAAAGACGACAAUGAGAAAACAUGUGCAGUUGACCGUUAGCAGUCAGCCUCAGAUCACAUUCCUCAGCACCAAAAAGUGUUAAAAAAAAUGAUUCUAGAAGACAAUUUAGGCGAUACAACAACUUUUAGUUAACACUUCACGGAGCGGACAGUCUCCUUUCAGAGAACUGCAAAAUGAGGUGGAAGGCAGGGAGCUUUCAUAGGAUGAAGAACAAAGAACAAGAAAAACACAAAGAAAACACAUCUGAUAGUCUGGGGCCUCCGAGUCCACCUUGUUUGGGGUGAGAAGGAACAAGGAAGUAAGUGGAGAGCCCAGAGUUGGCCUGGCCUUUGGGAAUUGGCUGACGGGAUACCCUGCAUUUCUGGUCAGCAGGAACACCUACGGAAACAGGAAAGCUAUCCGUUUCUCUUUGCUGAUGUAGCACCUUAGGCAGAAAUGGCUCCCUCGUGGGCCUAGAAAGUUAUUUCAACACUGUGUAACAGAUUACUCCCAAAUUUAGCAGCUUAACACAAGAAAUAUUCAUUACCUCACAGUUUCUGUGGGUCUGAAAUCCGGCGGUGGCUUACCUGGUGGUUCUGGCUCAGGGUCUCUUUAGGAAGUUGUAGUCAAACUGUCAGCCAGGCUGCAGCUGGAGAAGGAGACUCCACUUCGGGUCCUUGCCACUAGGGCCUCUCCACAGGGCUGCUCACAACAUGGCGGCUGUCCUCUCCUGAGCUAGUGAUCCAAGAGACAGGGCAGGUAAGAGUCCCUGAUGGAAGCUGCCCGUCACUUCUGCACUGUUAUUGGUCACACACACCAACCCUGCUGCAGUGUGAGAGGGGACCACACAAAGGAAAACCUUGAUCUUGGAUGAAGUGAACCAUCUGCCUUCUUUGUGUCUGUAUGAGGACUACCAAGCUGCUGGAGGAAAAUUGCACACUUCAACAGUCUCUGUAAACUCACCAUCACCAACUUCACAUGGAUUUCAACCUACCUGGCAAUCCUGCAGCCUGGCUUCUGCUACCACUCCACUGAAGCUGGUCUUACCAACAUCAUCACUGACCUUGAUAAUGACAGCAUUGUUAUCAUAAUAGCCACUUGGUCUCCUUAUUGCCUUCCAACAACAUUUAAAACAGCCGACAGCUUUUUUUACAUUCUGUCCUUGGCUUUCAUAACAUAUGGAGUAAUUGCGUCCUUGAGACUUUGCCCAAUGCCCGCUUUUCACUCUGCG
rnacentral:lncRNA from 1 species